CAGUCGCCGCGGUAAUACAGAGGGUGCGAGCGUUAAUCGGAUUUACUGGGCGUAAAGCGUGCUUAGGCGGCUUUUUAAGUCGGAUGUGAAAUCCCUGAGCUUAACUUAGGAAUUGCAUUCGAUACUGGGAAGCUAGAGUAUGGGAGAGGAUGGUAGAAUUCCAGGUGUAGCGGUGAAAUGCGUAGAGAUCUGGAGGAAUACCGAUGGCGAAGGCAGCCAUCUGGCCUAAUACUGACGCUGAGGUACGAAAGCAUGGGGAGCAAACAGGAUUAGAUACCCCAGUAGUCCCUGUCUCUUAUAC
rnacentral:rRNA from 1 species